rnacentral:rRNA from 1 species
GAUGAACGCUGGCGGCGUGCCUAAUACAUGCAAGUCGAGCGAAUGGAUUAAGAGCUUGCUCUUAUGAAGUUAGCGGCGGACGGGUGAGUAACACGUGGGUAACCUGCCCAUAAGACUGGGAUAACUCCGGGAAACCGGGGCUAAUACCGGAUAACAUUUUGAACCGCAUGGUUCGAAAUUGAAAGGCGGCUUCGGCUGCGACUUAUGGACGGACCCGCGUCGCAUUAGCUAGUUGGUGAGGUAACGGCUCACCAAGGCAACGAUGCGUAGCCGACCUGAGAGGGUGAUCGGCCACACUGGGACUGAGACACGGCCCAGACUCCUACGGGAGGCAGCAGUAGGGAAUCUUCCGCAAUGGACGAAAGUCUGACGGAGCAACGCCGCGUGAGUGAUGAAGGCUUUCGGGUCGUAAAACUCUGUUGUUAGGGAAGAACAAGUGCUAGUUGAAUAAGCUGGCACCUUGACGGUACCUAACCAGAAAGCCACGGCUAACUACGUGCCAGCAGCCGCCGUAA